UAAUACGGAGGGGGCGAGCGUUAUUCGGAAUUAUUGGGCGUAAAGGGCGCGUAGGCGGCUUUCUAAGUCAAAGGUGAAAUCCCUCGGCUCAACUGAGGAACUGCCUUUGAAACUGGAAGGCUUGAGGCCGGGAGGGGGUAGCGGAAUUCCCAGUGUAGCGGUGAAAUGCGUAGAUAUUGGGAGGAACACCAGUGGCGAAGGCGGCUACCUGGGCCGGUUCUGACGCUGAUGCGCGAAAGCGUGGGUAGCAAACAG
rnacentral:rRNA from 1 species